rnacentral:miRNA from 14 species
UGUGUGUGUGCGUGUGUGUGUGUGUGUGUGUGUGGGCGUCGACAGGAAAUGAUCGUUGUGGGUUUUUAGCUCAACCUGUGUUUGUCUGCCUUAACCAUUAAACACACACACACACACACGCACAUACACACACACGCACACACACACA